CCUACGGGUGGCAGCAGUGGGGAAUAUUGGACAAUGGGGGCAACCCUGAUCCAGCCAUGCCGCGUGUGUGAAGACGGCCCUCGGGUUGUAAAGCACUUUCAGUGAGGAAGAACGCCUGGUGGUUAAUACCCAUCAGGAAAGACAUCACUCACAGAAGAAGCACCGGCUAACUCCGUGCCAGCAGCCGCGGUAAUACGGAGGGUGCGAGCGUUAAUCGGAAUUACUGGGCGUAAAGCGCGCGUAGGUGGCUUGAUAAGCCGGUUGUGAAAGCCCCGGGCUCAACCUGGGAACGGCAUCCGGAACUGUCAAGCUAGAGUGCAGGAGAGGAAGGUAGAAUUCCCGGUGUAGCGGUGAAAUGCGUAGAGAUCGGGAGGAAUACCAGUGGCGAAGGCGGCCUUCUGGACUGACACUGACACUGAGGUGCGAAAGCGUGGGUAGCAAACAGGAUUAGAUACCCUGGUAGUC
rnacentral:rRNA from 1 species